rnacentral:rRNA from 1 species
UACGUAGGGUGCAAGCGUUGUCCGGAAUUAUUGGGCGUAAAGAGCUCGUAGGCGGUCUGUCGCGUCUGCUGUGAAAACUCAGGGCUUAACCCUGAGCUUGCAGUGGGUACGGGCAGACUAGAGUGCGGUAGGGGAGACUGGAAUUCCUGGUGUAGCGGUGAAAUGCGCAGAUAUCAGGAGGAACACCGGUGGCGAAGGCGGGUCUCUGGGCAACAACUGACGCUGAGGAGCGAAAGCGUGGGGAGCGAACAGG